rnacentral:lncRNA from 1 species
AGUCCAGGUAAUGGAGCAGAGACUGGAGCAGAGACAAGUUGUUCCCACUGAGCUCUCCUCAGAUUACAGAUUGGGAGUGGCAAAUCAAAGGCAUUGCAGCCUCUUUCAUCACUGCCGAUUGCUGAUGCCAACCAUGUGCCAAGUGCUUAAUACGUCACCUUAAAUCUUCUCAUCCACCCUCAGAGUAGCUGCAGCAUCAACCCAGUGCCCUGACUUUCAAGACGACUAUGAAAACACCCCAACUGCUGCUAAAUUACCAGCAACAAGGAUCUGACAUUCUUACUAAAAAGAAAGAACACCGAAAUUGACCUUACCCUGACAAUAUGAUGGCUGAAGGAUUUAUGAUCACUUAUAACAUUUGAAAUUGAGGCGGAACCUGAAGAAUAUGACUCUGGUGAAACGUCCUAUUUAUGCUUUUGAUGUCUUUCACUUGGACAUUUACCACAUGCCUAUUGGUAGGUUUGUUACAUAGGUCAGUUAAGGUGAUACAAGAAUAAAUAAAACACUAUCCCUAUCCUUUAAUAUCAUUUAUUUGUGGGGUCAAUCACAGAUUUUCAUUUUUCAAAAUCUUUGAUAAAUGUCAGAAUUAUGUUUUUUAAUAUUUUUACAGAAUUAUUACAAUAUAUGAUAGAGGAUGAAAGGCAAGGUAGUAUGAAAUGGAAAAGAUAUUUUGAAUUAAGAUAUUUGGACCUGGAUUCAUAUUUUUGCUUUGGUCUUUAUUAGCUGAGUGACCUUGGGAAAGUUCUUCUACUAAAAAAGAACAAAGAUAAUAAUUACUUCAUGAAAUUGCUGUAAAAACACAUAACAAGUAUAUCCAGACUCAACAGUGUAUGCUCAAAAAUGCAGAUCCUUUUUCCCUUACCUGCAAAUAAAGUCUUACAUUAAUACAGUGGGGGUAAAGGUUUAAACUGGUGGAUUCAAGAAGGGUUAUAGAAAGAGGUAGCAUUUUAAUAGGGGAAGGAGUGGAUCCAAGAAAUCAGAUCCAUUUUCUACAAAAAGAAAUGAGAAGACAGAUAAUUCAAGAAGAAAAGUUUACAUGAUUAAAGACCCAAAGUUAGAAAUAGUGAUGUGUCUCAAUAGUAAGUUAGGAAUUGGGGUGGACACAGUUGUUGGAAGAAGGAUGGUUUCAGCAAAGACCCGAGUUAGGUGACAAUUUCAAGUGUUUGUGAAGAUAUAUGAACAAAAUUAUAAAGUAGUUAGGGUAUAAGAAAUAGGGAGGAGGGAAUGAAUUAACAUUUAUGGAGUGUCUUGCAUGUUCCAAGCACUGUACUACUUGCCUUAUAAACCUUUUUUCAAUAAACGCCUACAACAA